GACACGGUGAUCAAUCCGACUUCGCCGAGCGUCAGCAGGAACGCCAUCAUCGCCAGCGCCUGCCAGAUCGAGCCGACCAGGAUGGUCGCGAUACCGCCGAUGCGGUCGGAGAUCAGUCCCCACACCUGGCGGCUGAGGAACGCGGUGCCGAGCAGGAUCGUCAGCAUCCAGGCGCCGAACGUGCGGGUGAAGCCGAGGUCGCUGCAGAACGCGACGAGGUGCUGCUGCGGUAUCGCCAUUGGAAUGCAACAGGUGAAACCGGCGAGGC
rnacentral:misc_RNA from 1 species